AUGAACGCUGGCGGCGUGCCUAAUACAUGCAAGUCGAGCGAACAGACGAGGAGCUUGCUCCUCUGACGUUAGCGGCGGACGGGUGAGUAACACGUGGAUAACCUACCUAUAAGACUGGGAUAACUUCGGGAAACCGGAGCUAAUACCGGAUAAUGUAUUGAACCGCAUGGUUCAAUAGUGAAAGACGGUUUUGCUGUCACUUAUAGAUGGAUCCGCGCCGCAUUAGCUAGUUGGUAAGGUAACGGCUUACCAAGGCGACGAUGCGUAGCCGACCUGAGAGGGUGAUCGGCCACACUGGAACUGAGACACGGUCCAGACUCCUACGGGAGGCAGCAGUAGGGAAUCUUCCGCAAUGGGCGAAAGCCUGACGGAGCAACGCCGCGUGAGUGAUGAAGGUCUUCGGAUCGUAAAACUCUGUUAUUAGGGAAGAACAAAUGUGUAAGUAACUAUGCACGUCUUGACGGUACCUAAUCAGAAAGCCACGGCUAACUACGUG
rnacentral:rRNA from 1 species